rnacentral:rRNA from 1 species
CUGGCGGCAGCCUAACAAUGCAAGUCGAGCGGAAACGAAGAGGUGCUUGCACCUCUGGCGUCGAGCGGCGGACGGGUGAGUAAUGCUUGGGAAUAUGCCUUAUGGUGGGGGACAACAGUUGGAAACGACUGCUAAUACCGCAUGAUGUCUACGGACCAAAGUGGGGGACCUUCGGGCCUCACGCCAUAAGAUUAGCCCAAGUGGGAUUAGCUAGUUGGUGAGGUAAUGGCUCACCAAGGCGACGAUCCCUAGCUGGUUUGAGAGGAUGAUCAGCCACACUGGGACUGAGACACGGCCCAGACUCCUACGGGAGGCAGCAGUGGGGAAUAUUGCACAAUGGGCGCAAGCCUGAUGCAGCCAUGCCGCGUGUGUGAAGAAGGCCUUCGGGUUGUAAAGCACUUUCAGUAAGGAGGAAAGGUUAAGUGUUAAUAGCACUUAGCUGUGACGUUACUUACAGAAGAAGCACCGGCUAACUCCGUGCCAGCAGCCGCGGU